rnacentral:rRNA from 1 species
UAGGGAAUCUUCCGCAAUGGACGAAAGUCUGACGGAGCAACGCCGCGUGAGUGAUGAAGGUUUUCGGAUCGUAAAGCUCUGUUGCCAGGGAAGAACGUCCGUUAGAGUAACUGCUAACGGAGUGACGGUACCUGAGAAGAAAGCCCCGGCU